CUGAACUUCUUGUGGCUGUGCUGACAUCAGUAAGAGUUGGAGAAAGUAUACAUUUAAGAAAAUGUAUACAUUCCCACCCACAGGAUAUUAAGAUUUUGAUUCUGCAUUCUGAGAUUUCAAAGCUGGAGUUGAUAUUUUCAAAUAAACAGUUCUUUAAGAGACACAGGAACAUCUUACGUUAGGACCACGCCACGAAGGGGCUGUUUUUAAAAAGGAUUGUGAGUGAUUGUAUCCUAUGCUCAGAUGCUCAAUCUAAGGCUGUGGUGUUUGGCAGAAAUCAGUGAUUUUUUUAGAACACUGGAAGGUGCCCACAACUGGCAUGGGUGUAUUAUUUGUCACUUCAAAGCACCUAUGGACAGUCCUUUGCUUUUCCAUACAAGAGUGAGCUUAGGAAUACUUUGCUUCAUUCUAGAUCAGGCUGCCUGUAGGUAUAGACCCUUUCCUCUGAUGCCUUAUUGCCAGUGACAUUAAAUACAGUAUAUGAUAAGAGUUUAUUAGUACUGUACUUUAGUCAACAUUCGUGCAAUCGUAUAUGAUGGCCCCCAAGCAGAAGAUUUCAAUAGAUGGCAGUGAUCCCAUUAGUGAUCGUGAAAGUCGUCCUACACAAUAACCCUCCUCUCUCUUGUCUACCUCGCACCUGCCACGAAGGUUUUCAAAGGUAAGUGUAGGUUCCUUUGUUUAUUUUACUUUGUAUUUUCUUUAUUAUUUUGUAUUAUAUUACAGUACUAUGAUUAUUUUUAUGUGAAUAUAUUUGGGUUGUAGAAUGAAUCAUCUGCGUUUCCAUUAUUUCUUAUGGGGAAAUUUGCUUUGAUAUACAAGUGUUUUGGAUUACAAGCAAGUUUCUGGAACGAAUUAUGCUCACAAACCAAGGUUUUAUGAACAUCACAUAUAGAUCAAGAUGGGUAAAAUUCCACAGUCAUCUUCAGACAUUUGCUCAUUGCUUUCUCAAGACUUUCUUAGGAUUCUGUUUCCAGGAACAGAAUUUCUGGUCAAAGGUAUGGGCAUUAGCAUUUUGAUGGAUCUUGCCAAACUUCUGGUGAUAGCUUAAGAAGCUAUUGCUUUUUCUCCUGAAUUGUUGCCAACGGUGGAUUGAAUACAAUUUUUUUAGAAGUCUUUGCUAGUUUGAUGAGUUAUCAGACCCUUAACCAUUCAUUGCCUGGCUCUCCAGGUCUUGAUCCAUAUCCAGGGCUCUUGUGUGGCUUCUCAUGAAUCUGGUGUUAUAAUAAUAAAGACUUUAAAACCCCGUUGUCUUUCUCAAGGGCAUUUCUUAUUACUUAAAAAGAUGUUUAGGUCUUACUGCUUGGGUCUCCAUAGUGGUCUGCAUCCUGGACAACUAGAGCGGGAGACUCUUCCAAAUUGAUGGUGAUAAGAGUGCAAGGCAAUUGGAAGGUAGACUUUUUUGGACAAGGCAUAGGACCAGAUUCCGUGGCUUGACUUCCAGCCCGUAAAGAUGAACUAACACGUGGGACUUUGUUUUUGAAUCCCGCUAUCCAGCAUUUUGUUGAGAGAACCCAUGCAAUAUAGGCCAAGUUUCUGUUCCAUCGUUAGCUUCUGGUAUAGAGACGUCUCUGCCAUGAAGUUGAACUGCGUACCACUGACUGGCAUUACUCCGGGGAAAAUGACAUCACAAGGAAUGGGUGGGCUAGUUCCGAGACUUGUGCAUUUUUCGUGGUUUCUACCUCCUCAUUCCACUGCUGCUGACACCUGGAAUCCUCUCGACAUCCAGCGUUUAAUCAGACAGAUACCUCUGCAAUCAUUACUCUCAUUUCUUCGUUAGAAUGUGAGCUAUUUAAGGUCACCAAAUCUUUGUAAAUGAUCUUCAUAUUUCCCACACUCCCGAAGGACUUAUUUGGGAUUCAAGAGAUACUGAAUGAAUUAACUUUUAACUGUGACUCAUGCUUCUAAGGAGAAAUGCAGGCAUAUCAAAGGUAUAACAGAUUUCUAAGCUUUUUCUCAUUUUAUUGUCAUCAAGCAUAUUCAGACUACUUUCCAUUUUCUUAUACCUCAAAGCUUUCCCAAACAGCAUAGAAGGAAAACAUGACAAGCCCUGGCCAUCAUUCCCCAGGGCAUAAGUCCAUUUUACAUCCCAGAAAGUUGGUGAUGCUCAGAAUGCAUCUGGUAUCCAGUGAUUCAAAGAUGUCAUUUUUCCUUCUAUCUCGGGAGUGUUCUGGUUCUUUGGUUAUGGCCUCACCGUGCCAUGAUGCUGAUGCAUUCUUUUGUUUCAAAGGUUUGGUCCCUUCCCCCAUUUGGAGGCAAGUACGUAUUCAAGGUACUAUUUGAUAGAGUGCUCUUUGUAAUAUUACCUGGGGAUGUCAUGAAAGAGUGCUAGAAUAGUUUAUAUAAUUUAUUUUCCCUGGAAAACACAUUUAGUACCCUCUUAAAUAGUCUUGGGUUUAGAACCAUUUUCAAAAGAAGAAGGUCAAGAUGACGUCUAGUCUUAAGACUAUGUUAUCACCUUUGAACCAGGUCCACUUGAAAGGAUUCAUUCAGUUUGGGGUCCAGAACCAUGAGCAGAAAAAAAAUGAGGGCUGGGUUUAUUUUUCUCUUCGUGCCUUUGACAAUACAGCCUUUGUUGGAAUAUUUAUAUUUGUAAUCAUUUCCUUGCCUUGCACCAAAUAACAAUUGUGGAUUGAUACCUACUUUUUUCCAUCUUGAUUCUGGAAUUCCAGGCAACGACUAGAGGUAAUAACUCAUGAAAUUUGAUCUACAGGAAGUCUAUUACUUCAUAAAAAUUAGAGAAAGAUACAUAGAACAAAGUGUUUUUCUGGACAUAAUGGGAUAUUUUGAAUGUAUAAUCAUACCUUUGGUUUAUGUCAGUGGUUCUCAGACCUGUGUGAACAUCAGAAACCCCUAAGGUGCUUUAAUAAUAAUGAUAAUAGUAAUAAUAAUAAUAAUAAUAAUAAUAAAAUGAUAAAUAACAAGGCUAAGAUCCAAGCCAAAUAUUCUGAUUCAAUUUGGGGGAUGGACACUGAUAUUUUUAAAACCCUUAAGUGAUUCUAGUAUGCAGUUUGAUGAAAACCAUUUAUCUGUGUAACAAUACCCCCCUAUAUUCUGAUUCUGUCUUUUACUAUUUCUGUAACAAUUCUGUGCUGGUUUUCUUAGUUUCCUGAAGCAUUUGUGACAUUGCAUCUCUCAAAUCUCCUUUAUGCUAAAAUAAGAAAAUUGCUUAUAAUUAUAAAGUAGAAAUUUUAUUGUUGCUAUACAUUUUCUCUCAGAAUAGGUUUUCAAGAGGUGAACUGACCGUCACUCAAGUAUGUGGGGAAUGCAAUGAUUUCUUUGGUUUCUCUGGUUUUCUCAAGGCCUUGUACAGAGGUCCUCAGACACUGUGAAACCUAGCAAUUAUCUGCUGAUAAAUAUAUGCAGUCUUGCUCAGGAGAUGCCAACUCAGCGAUCUGCUUUUAGCCAGCGAGAAACAACUUUAAUCCCUUGCUGAGAUGAGUUUCUCCUAACCCGAUGCUCUUCAAAAUCAAUCACCUCUUGUGUUACCUAGUCACUGUCUGCUUCUCAGCUGCAUUUGGCCUGUGGGUCUUUGGGAAGGCCACGUGACCUUUCUUCUCUGUAAAAAUGAGAGAGAGAGAGAUGAUGGGGGCUUUCCAAGACACUUUUAUUUAAAGUUUAUUUAUUUAUUUUGAGAGAGAGAGAGAGAACACAUGGGAGGGGCAGAGAGAGGGAGAGAGAGAAUCUCAAGCAGGCUCUGCACCAUCAGCACAGAGCCCAGUGUAGGGCUGGAACCCACGAACCAUGAGAUCAUGACCUGAGCCAAAACCAAGAGUUGGUCACUCAACUCACUGAGCCACCCAGGCGCCCCUCCAAGAUACCCUUUUAACUUUAGGGUCAAUGAACUAUGAUCCAAAUAAACACUUCAAUUGGCAGCCCAGUGAACAUUAUUCAAACCUAACAGCAAGAAGAAUAGCCUUCGUCUUUUCUGUAAUUUUAAUCAAUCAAUCAAUUUAUUUAUUUAUUUUCACUUAUGUUUACCAGUUUAUUAUAUAACAAAGGUAUAAUAAAGGAUCGGGAUAGAUUUUUCUGUACAGCUAAUUAUAGCCAAGCCUUGUUGUUAUGAAGGGCUGUGGACACCUAGUAUGUGCACAUACAUAGAGCAAUUCCUUUAAAAAUACAGAACUGACAACAUCUAAGGCCUGAAGCUGGCCGUCAUAGGAGUUAUACUGUUUUAUCAGACACAGGUCCUGGUCUUUAGAAGUUCCCUAUAUUUUAUUAGGGAGCUAAGACAGGUACACAGAACAGAAAAUACAGAGUCACAAGUCUGAGAUUGGUACAUGCUAAUCUUAGCAGUUUCAGGGAAACUGAAACGAGCAUGAGAUGUAGAGAAUCCUGAGCAAAUGAAAAGUCCUCCAGCAACUCUCCCAGCACCCGUUCUUGCCAUUGCAAUCACUCUAACCUUUGAAAAGCUAUUUUUUGAGAUAACUGUAGACUCACAUGCCAUUGUAAGAAAUAAUACAGAGGGACCCCACACACCAUUUAUCCAGUUUCCACUAAUGGUAAUUUACGAAACUUGCAAAACUAUAGUACAAUAUCAGAACCAGUAUAUUGACAUUGAUACAAUCCACCAGUAUUCAGAUUUUCCCAGUUUUACUUCAACUAGGGUGUGUGAGUGUGUGUGUGUGUGUGUGUGUGUGUGUGUGUCUAGUUCUCUGCAACCUUACAUCUGUAGGUUUCUUACCCACCAUCAUAUUCAUGAUGCCGAACAGUUCCAUCACCACACAAUCCUUAUCUUUGCUCUUUUAUAACCACUCACUUCUUUUCCUUACCCACUUCUCCCUUUCCCUAAACCUCAGCAGCCACUAAUCUGUUGUCAUGUCCAUAAUUUUGUCAUUUUAAUAAAAUCAUGUAAAUGGAAUCA